UACGGGGGGAGCAAGCGUUGUUCGGAUUUACUGGGCGUAAAGGGCGCGUAGGCGGUCAGCACAAGUCGGUUGUGAAAUCUCCGGGCUUAACUCGGAAAGGUCAACUGAUACUGUGCGACUAGAGUGCAGAAGGGGCAACUGGAAUUCUCGGUGUAGCGGUGAAAUGCGUAGAUAAUCGUAAGGAAGACCAGUGGCGAAGGCGGG
rnacentral:rRNA from 1 species